rnacentral:lncRNA from 1 species
UGUUACUGGUAUCUCACACAGAUUCCAAGGAAAAGUUGGCCAUGUAGGUCUUCGGAUAUGCAGGAACAGGCAGCUUUGGGGAUCUAGGGAGCAACUUUGCCACCUCUCUUUGUUCCGUCCAAGAUUCAUAUUUCUGAAAUUAAAGUCUGGUCAAGGCUCCAUCCUGUGUCCACCUCUUGGUCCUGAGACAGACCUUCUGCACAGUAUCAAGUCUACGCACCAGAAAAGGGGCGGUGUCCCCCCAAAAGGCAAAGAGAUACUUGGCAAAUGCUCCUUCAGGUAGACCAGACAUGGGCUGUUGACCACAGAGGCCUAAAUUCUUGAUGAGUGCCACUGUGUAAAGUUAAGGCAAGUUACAUU